UGGGGAAUCUUCCGCAAUGGACGAAAGUCUGACGGAGCAACGCCGCGUGGGUGACGAAGGUUUUCGGAUCGUAAAACCCUGUCAAGAAGGAAGAAAAAAGACGGUACUUCUGAAGGAAGCCCCGGCUAACUACGUGCCAGCAGCCGCGGUAAUACGGAGGAUGCGAGCGUUAUCCGGAUUUAUUGGGUUUAAAGGGUGCGUAGGCGGCCCGGUAAGUUAGAGGUGAAAGUCAGUGGCUCAACCAUUGAGUUGCCUCUGAUACUGUCGGGCUAGAGAACAGAUGCAGCAGGCGGAAUGAGUAGUGUAGCGGUGAAAUGCGUAGAUAUUAGGAGGAACACCAGUGGCGAAGGCGGCUUACUGGACUGUAACUGACGCUGAGGCUCGAAAGCGUGGGGAGCAAACA
rnacentral:rRNA from 1 species